UUGGGAAUCUUGGACAAUGGAGGAAACUCUGAUCCAGCCAUGCCGCGUGAGUGAUGAAGGCCUUCGGGUUGUAAAACUCUUUCGACGGGGACGAUAAUGACGGUACCCGUAGAAGAAGCUCCGGCUAACUUCGUGCCAGCAGCCGCGGUAAUACGAAGGGGGCUAGCGUUGUUCGGAAUUACUGGGCGUAAAGCGCGCGCAGGUGGCCAUCCAAGUCAGGGGUGAAAGCCCGGAGCUCAACUCCGGAAUUGCCUUUGAAACUGUAGAGCUUGAGUACGGGAGAGGUGAGUGGAAUUCCCAGUGUAGAGGUGAAAUUCGUAGAUAUUGGGAAGAACACCGGUGGCGAAGGCGGCUCACUGGCCCGUUACUGACACUCAUGCGCGACAGCGUGGGGAUCAAACAGGAUUAGAUACCCCGGUAGUCC
rnacentral:rRNA from 1 species